GAGACCAGCAAAUACUAUGUGACUAUCAUUGAUGCCCCAGGACACAGAGACUUCAUCAAAAACAUGAUUACAGGCACAUCUCAGGCUGAUUGUGCUGUUCUGAUUGUUGCUGCUGGUGUUGGUGAAUUUGAAGCUGGUAAGAUCUGAAGAG